CCUACGGGAGGCUGCAGUGGGGAAUAUUGCACAAUGGGGGAAACCCUGAUGCAGCCACGCCGCGUGAAGGAAGACGGUCUUCUGAGUGUAAACCUCUAUCAAUAGGGAAGUAAGAAAUGACGGUACCUAAAUAAGAAGCCCCGGCUAACUACGUGCCAGCAGCCGCUGUAAUACGUAGGGGGCAAGCGUUAUCCGGAAUUACUGGGUGUAAAGGGAGAGUAGGCGGCAAGGUAAGCGAUAUGUGAAAGUCUUAAGCUUAACUUAAGGAUGGCAUAACGAACUAUCUAGCUAGAGUACAGGAGAGGAAAGCGGAAUUCGUAGUGUAGCGGUGAAAUGCGUAGAUAUUACGAAGAACACCGGUGGCGAAGGCGGCUUUCUGGACUGAAACUGACGCUGAGGCUCGAAAGCGUGGGGAGCGAACAGGAUUAGAUACCCUUGUAGUC
rnacentral:rRNA from 1 species